GGUAAGAUGGCUGAGGUUAAGCGGUGGACUGUAAAUCCGUAUAGAAGGGAGAGAUGCCCUUUCUUACCA
rnacentral:tRNA from 1 species